rnacentral:rRNA from 1 species
UACGUAGGGUGCGAGCGUUGUCCGGAAUUACUGGGCGUAAAGAGCUCGUAGGUGGUUUGUCGCGUUGUCCGUGAAAACUCACAACUCAAUUGUGGGCGUGCGGGCGAUACGGGCAGACUGGAGUACUGCAGGGGAGACUGGAAUUCCUGGUGUAGCGGUGGAAUGCGCAGAUAUCAGGAGGAACACCGGUGGCGAAGGCGGGUCUCUGGGCAACAACUGACGCUGAGGAGCGAAAGCGUGGGGAGCGAACAGG